rnacentral:rRNA from 1 species
CCCUUAGAUGUUCUGGGCCGCACGCGUGCUACACUGAUGCAUUCAGCGAGUCUAAAACCUGGUCUGAUAGGGCUGGGUAAUCUUUUGAAAGUGCAUCGUGAUUGGGAUAGAUGAUUGCUAUUCUUCAUCUUCAACGAGGAAUGCCUAGUAAACGCAAGUCAUCAGCUUGCAUUGAUUACGUCCCUGCCCUUUGUACACACCGCCCGUCGCUCCUACCGAUUGAAUGAUCCGAUGAAUACCAUGGAUUGAGAGUACGAAUAGGUUCGCUUAUUUCUGCUGCUCGAGAAGUGGAGUAAAUCUUAUCAUUUAGAGGAAGGAGAAGUCGUAACA